rnacentral:rRNA from 1 species
AUUGAACGCUGGCGGCAGGCCUAACACAUGCAAGUCGAGCGGUAGAGAGGUGCUUGCAUCUCUUGAGAGCGGCGGACGGGUGAGUAAUGCCUAGGAAUCUGCCUAGUGGUGGGGGAUAACGUUCGGAAACGGACGCUAAUACCGCAUACGUCCUACGGGAGAAAGCGGGGGAUCUUCGGACCUCGCGCCAUUAGAUGAGCCUAGGUCGGAUUAGCUAGUUGGUGGAGGUAAUGGCUCACCAAGGCGACGAUCCGUAACGUGGUCUGAGAGGAUCGAUCGAGUCACACUGGAGCUGAGACACGGUCCAGACUCCGUACGGGAGGCAGCAGGUGGGGAAUAUUGGACAAUGGGACGAAG